CCUACGGGAGGCAGCAGUGAGGAAUAUUGGUCAAUGGACGAGAGUCUGAACCAGCCAAGUAGCGUGAAGGAUGACUGCCCUAUGGGUUGUAAACUUCUUUUAUAAAGGAAUAAAACGAGGCACGUGUGCCUUUUUGCAUGUACUUUAUGAAUAAGGAUCGGCUAACUCCGUGCCAGCAGCCGCGGUAAUACGGAGGAUCCGAGCGUUACACGGAUUUAUUGGGUUUAAAGGGAGCGUAGAUGGGUUGUUAAGUCAGUUGUGAAAGUUUGCGGCUCAACCGUAAAAUUGCAAUUGAUACUGGCAGUCUUGAGUACAGUUGAGGUAGGCGGAAUUCGUGGUGUAGCGGUGAAAUGCUUAGAUAUCACGAAGAACCCCGAUUGCGAAGGCAGCUUACUAAACUGUGACUGACAUUGAUGCUCGAAAGCGUGGGUAGCAAACAGGAUUAGAUACCCCAGUAGUC
rnacentral:rRNA from 1 species